rnacentral:rRNA from 1 species
UACGUAGGGGGGAAGCGUUGUCCGGAAUCAUUGGGCGUAAAGAGCGUGUAGGCGGCCAGAUAGGUCCGUUGUGAAAACUGGAGGCUUAACCUCCAGAUGUCGAUGGAAACCAUCUGGCUAGAGUCCGGAAGAGGAGAGUGGAAUUCCUGGUGUAGCGGUGAAAUGCGCAGAUAUCAGGAAGAACACCCGUGGCGAAGGCGGCUCUCUGGGACGGUACUGACGCUGAGACGCGAAAGCGUGGGGAGCGAACAGG